UACGGAAGGCAGCAGUGGGGAAUAUUGCACAAUGGGCGCAAGCCUGAUGCAGCCAUGCCGCGUGUAUGAAAAAGGCCUUCGGGUUGUAAAGUACUUUCAGUCGUGAGGAAGGUGUUAAGGUUAAUAACCUUAGCAAUUGACGUUAGCGACAGAAGAAGCACCGGCUAACUCCGUGCCAGCAGCCGCGGUAAUACGGAGGGUGCGAGCGUUAAUCGGAAUUACUGGGCGUAAAGGGCACGCAGGCGGUUAAUUAAGUUGGAUGUGAAAUCCCCGGGCUUAACCUGGGAAUGGCAUUCAAGACUGGUUAGCUAGAGUCUUGUAGAGGGGGUAGAAUUCCAUGUGUAGCGGUGAAAUGCGUAGAGAUGUGGAGGAAUACCGGUGGCGAAGGCGGCCCCUGGGACAAAGGACUGACGCUCAUGUGCGAAAGCGUGGGGAGCAAACAGGGAUUAGAUA
rnacentral:rRNA from 1 species